UAGGGAAUCUUCGGCAAUGGGGGGAACCCUGACCGAGCAACGCCGCGUGAGUGAAGAAGGUUUUCGGAUCGUAAAGCUCUGUUGUUAAGGAAGAACGAGUGUGAGAAUGGAAAGUUCAUGCUGUGACGGUACUUAACCAGAAAGGGACGGCUAACUACGUGCCAGCAGCCGCGGUAAUACGUAGGUCCCGAGCGUUGUCCGGAUUUAUUGGGCGUAAAGCGAGCGCAGGCGGUUAGAAAAGUCUGAAGUGAAAGGCAGUUGCUCAACCAUUGUAGGCUUUGGAAACUGUUUAGCUUGAGUGCAGAAGGGGAGGGUGGAAUUCCAUGUGUGGCGGUGAAAUGCGUAGAUAUAUGGAGGAACACCGGUGGCGAAAGCGGCUCUCUGGUCUGUAACUGACGCUGAGGCUCGAAAGCGUGGGGAGCGAACAGG
rnacentral:rRNA from 1 species